CAAUAUUAACAUUAGGUGGUUUAUAACAUAUCCCAACCAAUAGUUGUUUUCCCUUCUUUUCCCCCAAGCAGAUAUUUACCCAUAAAGCUUCCACAUUAUCCUCCUCGCAUUCCAUUUGCUUAACAUUUGGCUUUAAAUCAUGUUUGACAUACAAACAUACCCCACCACCCUUCUUGUUUUUCCUAUCCUUCCUAAAUAACAUGUACCCAUUUAAGUUAGCUGCCCAGUCAUGUGUCUCAUCCCACCAUGUUUCAGUUAUGCCUAUUAUAUCAUAUUGUUUAGUGUAUGCUAAUGCCUCUAGUUCCC